rfam:Salmo salar isolate Sally breed double haploid chromosome ssa07, whole genome shotgun sequence.
UGCAUUCACUACUGUAAGUCGCUCUGGAUAAGAGCGUCUGCUAAAAAAUGACUAAAA